UACGUAGGGUGCAAGCGUUAAUCGGAAUUACUGGGCGUAAAGCGUACGCAGGCGGCUUUGCAAGACAGGUGUGAAAUCCCCGGGCCUAACCUGGGAACUGCAUUUGUGACUGCAUAGCUAGAGUUUGUCAGAGGGGGGUGGAAUUCCACGUGUAGCAGUGAAAUGCGUAGAUAUGUGGAGGAACACCGAUGGCGAAGGCAGCCCCCUGGGCCAAUACUGACGCUCAUGCACGAAAGCGUGGGGAGCAAACAGG
rnacentral:rRNA from 1 species